AUGAUUUACUGUGAUACAACUAAGCAUAAAAUAAUAUGUGUAGUAGAGGAUUCUGUUUUAGUUUGUCAGAGUGUUUUUUUACAGGUCAGAAAGUCCAACUCCAUGAGCUACCAUGACAGAUUUCAAAUAAAAAAAUUCAGGGGGUUCCUGCACCAGCCAGACUGUGUCAUUGAGAUAAACUGGAUACAAUUUAGAAACUGCACACUCUCGGAGUUUAUCAAAAUUGACAGACCUUCAUUAAAGUAAUAAUAAUGCAUUGUUUAUUUGCUGUGUUAUUGAUAUGCAGCAGCCUUUCUUUAUUACACUGUGUUGUUGUGAUAACAGGAUUAUUUGCAAGUGUAAUGUGCACAAAGGGGGCAAGAGUUGCUGAAUGGCUAAUUGGGCCCUUUUAUUUCUAAACACAGCCAUUAUGAUCAAUCUAAAGAUGCUGGGUGGGUUCCACAGGCCCUGUGACCAAAAAUGAUUGUUUGUGGAUGCUUGAGUACAUUGUAUGAAAGUAUACAUGCAUGUGUGAGUAUCACUUCACAGCAAUUAGGUUUGUUGAUGUAAAGGACAAAGACUGAUUUAUUUUAGCUCACGUGUCCGCAUGCAUUGCCUUGUGUUUUUACAACAGAUUAAGUGCCUUACAGAAUAGAGAGAAUAAUAAAGCUGCGUAUCUUCUGCACACCUUUGCAUUCACAGUUUGACUACCAACUAAUGACAACGUUUUUUUCAGAAUCACAGAUAUGUAAUAUACUUAAGGGAUAAUGUUUGUUUGCUACAUAUCGUUAACACGUCAGCCUGAUUUUAUUAUUGUAUUUUUGUCCUCAGUAUUACUGAAAGCUUGAAAAUAGUUCACCCAAAAAUGAAAACCCUGUCAUAAUUUACUCAUAAUUUACCCUAAUUUUGUUCUAAACCUAAAUAACUUCCUUUCUCUUUUUGAAGAAUUAGUGUGACCAUAUGUCAUCUUUUCCUGCUGUGAUUUCUAAAUUGCCUAAAAUUCUAGAUUUCAUUUUCAUAAUUUAUCACCCUAGAAGAAUGUUUCAGCUGUUAUGGUCUAUUCAACAGAGGUCAGUGGGUUUCAAAACGCCAUUGGACCCCACUGAUAUUCUUUGUAUGGUCAAAGAGACUUGAGACAUUUCUCAGAAUAUGUUCUCAAAUCAUUGUGGCAGAAAAACCCUAGAGGUCGUAAAAUUGCUAUGAAAGAAUCUGCUUCAUCAAACACAAAAAGCACAUUGAAUACUUGGAUACUAUGUCACGGGACAAUAACAGCUUGAUUAAAAAAACAAACAUUUUAAUAAUAUAACAUUUAGCAUUUUGCAAGUGGUUUUAUUUUAUUUUUCAUUUUUACAUUUUUUUAAUUAUUAUUAUUAUUAUUAAUAAUGCAUACCAUGACCAUCUGACCAUCAUGGUUUGAGUAUAAAGAGUUUUAAAGAUAAUAUUUUCAUAUGUAAAAUCCAUGUUUUUUUUUUUUUUUACCACAAAAAAUAAAUAAAUAAAAAUAAAUCUGCAUUGGUUUAAUCUGAAUUUGUCCCUGGCACUCAUUCUUUUCCCCCUACUAACUGUACUCUUGCAGGGAUUUUCUAGUUGACUUAUAAAGGUUUGUGAGCUGUUGAGAUCUUGCUGUCAUUCUCUGUUAACUGAAGUCCAGAAUCCAUCCUCAGCUGUGAACAUACUAAUCAGGCUUCAUCAGCCUGGUCUCUUGGAGUUUAGUAGGCAUAUCUUUGACAUGGCAAAUAGGUAAGAAUGUGUGACAAAGCUGCUCACCAUCAUGGUCUACUGAGACCCUUAAAUGCUACAUAGACAGCUCCCUUUCAAGACAACAUCCUAACUGCCAUGGAACCUCAUAAGCGAUGGAUUUGGGACACACAGUGCUGUUUAAAAAAGUUCUAGCUUGCUUUGAGUUUGUUUUGAGUUAGCAAGUUGCUAGGCUACCAGCACAAUACUCUAAUAAGCAUACAAAUAUUGGGUCAAUUUUUUUAAUUACACUGAAUUGCUUGUAUUAAUUUUGCUUGAAAUAAGUUGAUGCAGUUGGUUUUAAUGCAGUAUGGGAUUAAUUUCUCGAUGAAGGAGAUAUGUGAUGCUGCCUUAGAAUUUAGCUAAAAUAAGAUAUUAUAAAGAAGCUUAAAGGGUUAGUUCACCCAAAAAUGAAAAUUCUGUCAUUAAUUACUCACCCUCAUGUCGUUUCAAACCCGUAAGACCUUCGUUCAUCUUCGGAACACAAAUUAAGAUAUUUUCGAUGGAAUCUGAGAGCUGUCUGACCCUGCAUAGACAGCAACGCAGCUGAUUGGGAAAUGAGCGACACCUGCUCCACUCACCGGUCACGAGUCCCAUGGAGGAGAUCGGAAGGAUACAAAAGAGGAGCGACGACAGUGAAGGACGAGAGAGGACCAGGCCUGGAUUUUAUUUUCUGUUUUGGUUUUGUUUGUGUGUCGUCCGUGAGGGGCUGUCACGCUGUUUUGUGUUUAUUUGGUUAUUAAAAUUUUAUUUGAGUGUCCGCUGGUUCCCGCCUCCUUCUUCCCGUGAUUAUGGAGUUUUUAUAUUGUUACACUAGUGCUCCUGUAGCUCAAGUGGUAGAGCAUUGCGUUACAAAGCGCAAGGUUGGGGGUUCGAUUCCCUGGGAACACAUGAUAGGUAAAAAUUGAUAGCCUGAAUGCACUGUAAGUUGCUUUGGAUAAAAGUGUCUGCUAAAUGCAUAAAUUUAAUUUAAAUUUAAUUUAAUUUACACUAACCCUUUAAUUAGAAUGCCUACAGUACCCUUUUGAACAGACAGUGUGCCUCUAUUAUCCCUUAAAAUGCUGCCUCUGUAGUCAGAUCCCUAGGUUUUGAAACUGAGCAUACGUGUAGGAACAUUGCUUCAGGUAAUACAUCACAAACUGUUUUUGAGCUUAUUAUAAUCUUCUCAAAAGAUUGGUCUUGUGAAACAAUAUCGUAUCAAUUUCUGUGAUUAUGGCUCCUAAUUGGUGGUCUUGUGUCGUACAGUGAGACAGGUUCAAGGAUCGCAGUUGUCACCGUUUUGCGACCAAAGAUAGCCUGCGAUAAUUUUCUGACAAGUGUCAGAAAUACAGCAUUAGGAUCGCACAAUGUUUGCUGCCAUGAUCCAUGUUUACUGACAACUAAUAAAAAUGUGACAUGAAAUCAAUGCAACAUGGCUCUAAAAUAUCAAACUGCUUACCUCAAGCUCUUAUGCCUUCCCUUUUCACCGCUUCCACUUUUUUCAGCACACAUAAAAACUACUAAUGCUAAAGGGUGAUUCAUCAUGCUCUUUUUGUUUACCACUAGUACAUGCUGAUAACGUUUUAUUCUUCUAUAGUAAUUUGUAUACUUCUAUAAUAUUCUUCUAUUAUAAUUUGACAUAGUGUAUGUGUCAAUAGGUGUCAUCAUCGUACAGUCUACACACGUCGUAGCCAUGUUUAUAAGAUCCAUGUCGCAUAGUGUGACAUGCAAUGAUCUUAUAGGAUUGCUAAAAUCGUGCAGUGUGUCUCGGCUUAAUGGGACCUGUAAAGUGUUACCACUUUUACUACAGAUGUAAUUGUUGUUUCCCAGAAACUGUUGAUUAUCUUGACCUCUUUCUACUUUAUCACAUUACAUCAGAGCCUCAGUUUUUGCAUAUUGUGAUUUGGCUUGUUAGUGCCUCAGUGGAAUUUUGAGCAUUUGGUUAAAUCCUGUGUUUCAGCUCUGUAUUCUGUGAUUGGUUUUGGCUUUGUGGGACAUGAGGACACUGUGAAGUGCAUCUGCAAAAUGAAGCACUUACUGCAGCGUAUACAAACUCCCAGCUCUGGAUAAAGACCACAAAUGGCUGGAGAGCAAAAAUAGCCUACUUUACCAGUAGAAAACUAUCCUCAUGUCACUAAUGCAAGCCAUUUUUGUAAGAAACAGACAAAAACUUGUGAAAAAAGAAACUAACAUACAGUAAGUACUGCAGUUAAGGGUUAAGCAACGCAUUCACAAAGCACACAAACAGUGUGCAUAAAUUUUAUGUGCAUAAAAUCAGAAAUGUAAAGUGCUUUUAUUUCGAGAAAACAAAAUGAUCAUGUUUAUAUUUGAAUCUGUCAUCUAACAAACAGAAGUUGACAUUUGAGAAUAGACAGAAGGCUGUACGAGUGUGUAAUGUAAACUUAAUGCAUGUCAAAGCUUUCUACAGAUGCAAACAAGGGAAUCCUAAAUCUGCAAUUUAAAUUCUGAGCUUGGCUCAACAGAGAAUAAUUAAACCAGGCUGUGAUACUGUUCCUGUUGUCCUGAUGGGGUAAUUAUUUGGAUGCAAAUGACAGUAAACAAUAUGCUGCAAAAAAUCUUUUAAAUACUUUUUUUAUUAAUAGAAAGCUUGUAUUUGAAACAGAAAUCUGUUGUAAUAUUAUGAAUGUCUGUACUGUCAUUUAUAAUCAAAUUAAUUUGUACUUGCUGAAUAAAAGUAUUAAUUUCUUGAAAACCAAAAAAAAAAAAAAAACAGAAAAUCUCACUCUAUAAAAUGUAUUGUAGGGAGUUCCAAGACCUGAAUGAGUGAUAAAAAUCUUUUUUAUUUUUUUGUACCAGUCUGUUGAAAUAAACUGAAUGUCUGAAACAACUGAAUAAAAAAGCUUCUGAUUCCCGCUGUUUACGCACCCACAUGCUUUUUCACGCAUGCUACAAUUACAGAGACUCACAUGAAACAUAUAUAAAACCUCAUAAGACUGAGUAAUUCCCUGAUCUUUUAUUCAUAACGACACUCCAAAAAAAAAAACCUUUGCAAUUUCUUGGUUUUUCCACCAUUUGAUUUCCAGCUCUCUGAUUGCUGUAGUGAAGUGAGAUGCACACUGCCAACACAAGCAUGAUGUGAUCCAGGUCACAGGUAUUGGGAGAUUAUGUCUUGUGCUCAUACGUGAUGGCCUGUGCCCUUUCCUAACAGGAUCCACCACCAUUCCCAGGAAGCCUGUAAAAUGAGAAAAAC
ensembl:lncRNA